AUGGAAAUGGCCAGGAACCUCCAGGUUCUCAGGGCGAGAAUCCACCUAGAUCCCUGCAUGGCUGUAUUACCAGGAGACAAAAUCUCUGAUAAAACACCGAGACCUUCUUCAGGCAGACAACCCGUUUUUACAUCCUUAUCAUCACCCAACAGCCACACCCCUCCUCGGGACCACACCCCACCAACAGCACAGCUCCUCACCGUGGACACGACCCACAGGAGCCUCUUCUUGGUGGCAGCAGCCACAGGUGCCCACUCCCAGGUGCAACUGGUGCAGUUUGGGCCUGAGGUGAAGCAGCCUGUGGCCUCAGUGAAGGACUUCUGCAAGGCUUCUGGUUACAGCUUUACCACCUAUGGUAUGAAUUGGGUGAGACAGGUCCCUGGAGAAGGGCUUGAGUGGAUGGGAUGGGUGAACACCAACCCUGGGAACCCAACGUAUGCCCAGGGCUAAACAGGAUGGUUUGUCUUCUCCAUGGACACUUCUGUCAGCACAGUGCAUCUGCAGAUCAGCAGCCUAAAGGCUGAGGACACGGCCGUGCAUUACCGUACGAGAGACACAGUGUGGAAACCCACAUCCUGA